AUCCAGAUGAUGAGUCCCAAAAUAGGACGGAACGCGCGUCCUGGAU
rfam:Schistosoma mansoni, Puerto Rico, WGS project CABG01000000 data, contig: 0044